UACGUAGGGUGCGAGCGUUAAAUCGGAAUACUGGGGCGUAAAGCGUGCGCAGGCGGUUUUGUAAGCCAGAUGUGAAAUCCCCGGGCUUAACCUGGGAAUGGCAUUUGGGACUGCAAGGCUUGAGUGUGGCAGAGGAGACUGGAAUUCCUGGUGUAGCAGUGAAAUGCGUAGAUAUCAGGAGGAACACCGAUGGCGAAGGCAGGUCUCUGGGCUGAACACU
rnacentral:rRNA from 1 species